CUGUUCGGCUGGAGUUUCGGGGGGCGACGGCAGCGCUGCUUUUCUCCCCUGGUGGGCCAGUCUUGCAACUCUGCUAAGUACACUCGCAUUCGCUUCGGCUACAGUCGCACGUGUUGGUUCAAGUUUUUCGCUUAAUCACUACCGUUCGUGCCACAAGAGUUCGUAGGAUGAGCGAAAACGUUCGUCCGAGGAAAAAGAAGAAGACAAAGCCAGUUUACUGUUGCGUUGUAAGCUGUACGAACAGUACACUCAACACAGUCGGCGCGUCACCCCCCGUCGUUUUCCACCGAUUCCCGGGAAGGUGGUACGAGAAGAAACGGCGGGAAGCAUGGGCAGCUGCUGUCCGCCGCGCAAAUCCAGAUGGAACUCCGUGGCAGCCACAACCAUGGUCGAUGAUUUGCAGCCAGCACUUCGUCGACAAUACUGUCAGCAAUGUCGGGAGUGAUGUAUCGUACGUUCCGACGAUCUUCCCAUCAGUUUACAGGAGGAAGAACGUUGAUGGCCAACGUCACAAGAGGUCGAAAAACCGUGCAGAACACCAAGCCAGCACGGCACUUGCACCAGCGGAAGAACCCCCUGACCA